AAGGUCUCACGCGGCUUUCAAAAAAUUCUUCCACUUCAUCACCUUUCUCAUUGCUGCAAAACUGCCAUGUCAAUAUAUAAACAGGGUCAGUUUACGAUUAAAUGUAAAUAAUUGUCGCUCUUGGGGUAAGUUUUAUAUGUAAAUAAUGUAUCAUUCAUUAUUUUUUCGGCUUUUACUUCCUAACCGGUGUUAUGAUGUCAGGGUUAAAAUGUGUGAGGAGCCCACCACCAUACUUGUUUACGAUGAAGUUCCACCUCUCCUGCCCUGCAUUCAUUUUCAAAUAACAUGGGUCAAUUGAAUGUGAACAGCACCGGUGGCUAAUUCUUGUAAAAAUCAAUGCCUAUACCUUCAUCCAUCUCUAUGCUACUCAUGCCCUUCUAAGCUUUAGCAAGUCCAUAAAUAAUAUCUUGAUCCCGAACCUUUUAAUAUGAAAAGAAAAAAGAAAUUCUUUGUUUAUGCAAUCAGCGUGUUGGUCC
rnacentral:lncRNA from 1 species